rnacentral:rRNA from 1 species
UACGUAGGCAGCGAGCGUUGUUCGGAGUUACUGGGCGUAAAGGGUGUGUAGGCGGUUGUUUAAGGUUGGGGUGAAAUCUCCCGGCUCAACUGGGAGGGUGCGCCGAAUACUGAAUGACUUGGAGUGCGGGAGAGGAAAGUGGAAUUCCUGGUGUAGCGGUGAAAUGCGUAGAUAUCAGGAGGAACACCGGUGGUGUAGACGGCUUUCUGGACCGUAACUAACGCUGAGACACGAAAGCGUGGGUAGCAAACAGG